UGGUCAAUGGGUGCAAGCCUGAACCAGCCAUCCCGCGUGAAGGACGACUGCCCUAUGGGCUGUAAACUUCUUUUGUAUAGGGAUAAACCUACCCUCGUGAGGGUAGCUGAAGGUACUAUACGAAUAAGCACCGGCUAACUCCGUGCCAGCAGCCGCGGUAAUACGGAGGGUGCAAGCGUUAUCCGGAUUUAUUGGGUUUAAAGGGUCCGUAGGCGGACUUAUAAGUCAGUGGUGAAAGCCUGUCGCUUAACGAUAGAACUGCCAUUGAUACUGUAAGUCUUGAGGAUAUUUGGGGUAGCUGAAAUAAGGAGUGUAGCGGUAAGAUGCAUAGAUAUUACUUAGAACACCAAUUGCGAAAGCAGGUUACCAAGAUAUAACUGACGCUGAGGGACGAAAGCGUGGGGAGCGAAC
rnacentral:rRNA from 1 species